rnacentral:snRNA from 1 species
CUGCUUGCUUCGACAGCACAUACACUACAAUUGGAAUGAUACAGAGAUUAGCAUGGCCCCUGCACAAGGAUGACACACAAAUUUGUGAAGUAUUCCAUAUUUUU